GACGAACGCUGGCGGCGUGCUUAACACAUGCAAGUCGAGCGGAGCGGCGAACGGGUGAGUAACGCGUGAGUAACUGCACCCCUCUCUGGGAUAACAGUUGGAAACGGCUGCUAAUACCGGAUAGUGGGGGAUGACUCGCGUCCUCUCAGCUUGUUGGUGGGGUAGGGGCCUACCAAGGCGACGACGGGUAGCCGGCCUGAGAGGGCGACCGGCCACAGUGGGCUGAGAGACGGCCCCAACUCCUACGGGAGGCAGCAGUUGGGAAGAGUGCACAAUGGGGGAAACCCUGAUGAAGCAACGCCGCGUGCGGAAUGACGGCCGUCGGGUUGUAAACCGCUUUCAGCAAUGACGCGGUAGUGGCAGAAGAAGCACCGGCUAACUACGUGACAGCAGCCGCGGUAAUUC
rnacentral:rRNA from 1 species